rnacentral:rRNA from 1 species
UACGUAGGGUGCAAGCGUUGUCCGGAAUUAUUGGGCGUAAAGGGCUCGUAGGCGGUCUGUCACGUCGGGAGUGAAAACUCGGGGCUUAACCCCGAGCCUGCUUCCGAUACGGGCAGACUAGAGGUAUGCAGGGGAGAAUGGAAUUCCUGGUGUAGCGGUGAAAUGCGCAGAUAUCGGGAGGAACACCAAUGGCGAAGGCAGCUCGCUGGGACGGUACUGACGCUGAGACGCGAAAGCGUGGGGAGCAAACAGG